rnacentral:rRNA from 1 species
CUACGGGGUGCUCCAGUGGGGAAUAUUGGACAAUGGGGGCAACCCUGAUCCAGCCAUGCCGCGUGUGUGAAGAAGGCCUUUUGGUUGUAAAGCACUUUAAGCAGUGAAGAAGACCAUAUGGUUAAUACCCAUAUGCGAUGACAUUAGCUGCAGAAUAAGCACCGGCUAACUCUGUGCCAGCAGCCGCGGUAAUACAGAGGGUGCAAGCGUUAAUCGGAAUUACUGGGCGUAAAGCGAGCGUAGGUGGCUUGAUAAGUCAGAUGUGAAAUCCCCGGGCUUAACCUGGGAACUGCAUCUGAUACUGUUAAGCUAGAGUAGGUGAGAGGGAAGUAGAAUUCCAGGUGUAGCGGUGAAAUGCGUAGAGAUCUGGAGGAAUACCGAUGGCGAAGGCAGCUUCCUGGCAUCAUACUGACACUGAGGUUCGAAAGCGUGGGUAGCAAACAGGAUUAGAUACCCCUGUAGUC